GACGAACGCUGGCGGCGUGCUUAACACAUGCAAGUCGAACGGAAAGGCCCUGCUUUUGUGGGGUGCUCGAGUGGCGAACGGGUGAGUAACACGUGAGUAACCUGCCCUUGACUUUGGGAUAACUUCAGGAAACUGGGGCUAAUACAGGAUAGGAGCUCCUGCUGCAUGGGGGGGGUUGGAAAGUUUCGGCGGUUGGGGCUGGACUGGCGGCUUAUCCGCUUGUUGGUGGGGUAGUGGCUUACCAAGGCUUUGACGGGUAGCCGGCAUUGGAGGGUGACCGGCGUCAUGGGGACUGAGAGAGGGCCCAGACUCCUACGGGAGGCAGCAGGGGGGAAUAUUGCACAAUGGGCGGAAGCCUGAGGCAGCAACGCCGCGUGCGGGAUGACGUCCUUCGGGUUGUAAACCGCUUUCGCCUGUGACGAAGCGUGAGUGACGGUAAUGGGUAAAGAAGCACCGGCUAACUACGUG
rnacentral:rRNA from 1 species